UAAUCCUUUCCCUUCUUGUUUCAUGCUUUUAAGACCAUGAGUUUUCAGGCUGGUAGGAUCCCUUUUAUCUACCUUUUAUAUAGUGCACUUAGUGUGUUGCAGGUGACUAUCAUGGUAAUAAGAAGAUACAUUUCCUAGUGAUUCUUUCCUUUCAUCCAGCUCCUGAAGAAGAAUUUGCUGUUAUCCAGAUACAAAUUCCGAAGACAGUACAGAAAGGAAUUAAAUUGGUGUUCUGGAAGCUACCCAGGCCCAUUCUCUUCUAAUGUGAGUCUAUAAAUUAUUAUAUGUUAGUGGUUGUAAUAAUAAUGGAUAAAUUCAGAAACAGUCACAGUCAGCAAACUGAAAUGGAAAUGAUGCCAAACACAGACUCAGUUGUGCAACAAUACAGGCAUUUUUUGGCAGACGGCACCCUUUUGUUGAGACACCAAUUCUCUGGUUAUUCGGCAACAAAGACAAUGACCAUAAUCCAGAGCCAAGUGCUACUCCUCUCUCGUUCUUUCUCUCUCUCUCUUUCAUUCCUGACUACGGUCCCAUCCAGAGGCGAUGUUGGCUGCAUCAAAUUGAGUGUUGCAUCUCAGGAAGUGGCUUGUUAUCUACAGAUAGUAAAGACAAACUGGAAGAAAGGUUUCUGGGGAUUCAGACAAUCAGAGCAUGGACUUCAACUCCCAUCAUGCUUCAAGAGGAACUCAGAGACUUUUUAAUGCCCAACCCAUGCAAGUGUUAAUGUUGUGGCUCAGCCUGCUUUUCAGCCUGAGAUGGAGUUCAAAUCAGAUUUCGGGGCCAUCCAAGACUUUGGCCGAAGCCCUGUAAAUUUGCAGGUGCCUGAAGUAGUUGUUACAGAGGAUCCGGUAAUUGAGGAACAUUCCAAUGGUCAGUCAAGGCCAAUUCAGCCAGAUGAGGUUGUCAGCUCGGAGGAGUGUGUUGAUUUUGACUGAAGAGUGAUGCUUACGAGAGAGAGGAGCAGAAGGGAGGGUUUGAGAAGGAGUCAGCGCUUGGCUUUCAGACACACUAAUGAGGAACUUUCUCAUGAGAAGACUAGCACUCCCUAGUCCUCAUUGCGCUGUAGCCUUGAAAUCUCUUUAAAGAUGCCUUGCUCACUUUUCCCCUGUGCGGUGUCAACUUUGCUAUCCAUGUGAGAAGUAUCUUUGUUUCCGUGCUCCUGCUCCAUGACUUCCCUGCCAAAACUUUGCUUUGUGGAUUCUGAAUAUCUCUUGCCUUGUUGUACCCUAUCUUCAGUGGAACUUUGUUGCUUCCUGGCCAUGUGGAUUACAGUUCUUGGACUACCUGGGUUUUGGGUUGUUGUCCCUUGUGACUCCUGGCUGUUCCUGUUUGGACGGUGAUUUCUUCAAGCCUAGAGAACUUUUCAGCUGCCAGGGAGGGAGAAAAGACGCUGACUUAACUCCAUCCUCUCCAGUAGCUGAUAAAUCUGGUUCUCUUGAUCAGUUUUGCCCAGCUUUUCAGUUCCCUUUUCCCUGUUCUGUUUUCGGGGGAUUACACAUAACAGGCCACUGAAUAUUAUAAAUCACUUUCGGUCAAAUUGAUCCACACCCAAGCCUACUAUGCAAUCCUGUUGAAGGAUUUUAGGACGUACUUUCCCCUAAGAUGCUAAUGCUAGUGAGGAUUCUCACAUCUAAAGUUAAACAUCCAGGGGCUGGAGCCUCUGUUGUCAAAUUGCAGAACUUGACAUGGAGUCAAAUCCAUCCAUGUUGAAUAAUACUAGGCUAGCUUUAUUCUGGAAGGGCAUGCCAAGGGAGAAGCAAUUAUUCUUUCCAGUUCUGAAAAGAGGUCUCCUCUCUCAAUAGGGCUCAAUAUGGAAAUUUGUAGAGUAACUCAUAUUUGUCUAAUUUACAUAUGGAGCUGUAUUUCAGGUUGCAUCUGAUUUAAUGUCAUGUGCACCCCUCUAGGAAAAUCUAAACUGCCAGCCAAAUGCUUCAGUCAGCAAUUUCAUGACUUCUGAAGAAGAAUAAUUAGAAACUCUUGUACAUAAAUGAUGAAGUAUUUCAACACAAGUUAGUAGGAAAAAUAUUUGACUGUGGAACUGAAUAUUGCAUUGUAUAGAACCUCGCAGUCAGACAGUAUAAUGAUAUUCUUUAAAGAACUCUUGAAUAGACUCAAAUCUGCCAUUCUUUUCCAAACCCAAAUAAAAUUGUGCUGAGUAAGUUGAAUGCUGUUUAUUUUUGGCCUAACAAUACGUCAUGACUUAACAUCAGAUUAGGGUCAAUUUCCAUUAAGACUGCUUUUGAACAGUUAUGCAACUGAGUCAGAGGUAGGUCACUGUGUCCUGUUCUGAAUGCUACAAAGCUUGCAGAUCUUGAUGGGGCGAGGAGCAAGACAUAAGGCAGAAUGGGGUGAGGAAAGAGAAAAAGAAGGGCAAGGAGUCAAAGAUAAGAAUCUCAUUGAAAUCCAAGAAGUUUCUUGCAGGAGUGACCUGUAGAAUACUCCAGAGUAUAUUUACAAUUAAAAGACAGUUCAAUAUUGUGUUGUACUGUAUGGAGCAUUUGUCUCUAGAAGCUUAAAACAGCUCAUAUAUCUUAAGACGUUAUCACACCAGUCUGUUGUCUCAUCACAACCAUUUUCUAAGAUAUAUAUAUAUAUAUAUAUAUAUAUAUAUAUAUAUAUAUAUAUAUAUAUAUAUAUAGAGACACACACACACACACACACACACACACACACACACACUAUUAUUGGAAUGAUCGCUUUCACAUUGUGCUGCAACUGUACAAUGCUGGCACUUUGAUGAGCAUUCCCACAAUCAAUCUUCAGCACAACUUCACUUCCUACCCAUGUUUGUGCUGGUUUUGUUCUAUUUUACCAUCUUCCCUUCUUUGCCACAAGUGUCCAUUCUUAGCAGUAACUUCCUCCAUUUCACAAUAUCAGGACAUCCAUUUAUCACUAUCUUCCCAAUAAGGCAAUUCCAAAGUCUGGGAGCUGAUCCUUUGCAUAAGGUCUUCCCAUAGACCAGUGGUUCCCAACCUUUUUUUUUUGGAACAGGGCCCACUUGACCAUGGACCAUUUUGACCAUGGAAUACCUUGACAAGGGACCACUCUCCAACAUUAGUACCAAAAGGGUUACAAAUCAGUUUUUGGUCAACUUUAAAUUCGGUUUGGUUAUUUGGGGUGCCGAUUCAGAAAAUCUCAUUUAUUUACAGUAUUUAUAUUCCGCCCUUCUCACCCCGAAGGGGACUCAGGGCGGAUUACAAUGAACACAUAUAUGGCAAACAUUCAAUGCCAACAGACAAACAACAUAUAUAGACAGACACAGAGGCAUUUAACAUUUUUUUUCCAGCUUCACGAUUCUGGCCACAGGGGGAGCUGUUGCUUCACUGUCCACUAGUGGCUGUACUUCCUCAUUCCUUUCCUCGUGUUUUGCUGGCAGUUUUAUGAUGUUGUAAAUUAGUUAAAUUAGCCUCCCGCAUAAAGCGUACCUAAAUUUCCCUACUUGACAGAUGCAACUGUCUUUCGGGGCUGCAUAGGUCAACAGCAAGCCGGGCUAUUUAAUAGUCGGGGGCUUAACCCGACCCGGGCUUCGAACUCAUGACCUUUCGGUCAGUAGUGAUUUAUUGCAGCUGGUUACUAGCCAGCUGCGCCACAGCCCGGCCCCAUCAUUGGAUUGACCCCAUCAGCGCUAGCUUCUGAUACAGAACAUAUGCCAUCCAAUAGUUGCCAUCUGCUCGCCUGCAGAAAACCAGAUUUAAUAAUCUAGAGCUGAUGUGGUAUAUCCAAUGCAAUAGUCAGCUCUGCGGAAAGGAGCGGAAAUAAAAUUAAUAAAAUAAAGAGGAAGGAGGUUCGCGGACCAGAUUUUCGUUCUCGUGGUCCACUGCUGGGCCAUGGCCCACGGGUUGAAACCACUGCCAUACAGGGAGAUAUAGUUCUUCAAAUACCAUGGACCCAAGCUGGAUAAUUCUUUAUAGAUCAUCACCAGAACUUUUGUGUCUGGAAACAGACCAAUAGUCAGUGAAGUAGCUACAAUAACGCAGGUGUAUUUUCAAUGUAAUCAACCCCAGGUAACAAUCUAGCUGCAACUUUCUGGGAUGAUUAAGGAGAUGUUGAUUUAGGAAUUUGUUGUCUAUGGCCCACAUAUGAAUGCAAGUUCUCAUAGAGUUGGGCUGUUUGCUCCAUUUGUACUGUACCUGUUUCAUAUGGUGAAAUGAUGAAAACUUGUGUUCUUUUUCUGAGAGAGAGAGCACAGAGGAGGCUACAAACAUGUUCCCAAACUCCAGUCAUUAGUUUGCAUUAUACUGUAGUCAUGGGAACUCUGAAUCAUUGUUCAAGGAUUGCAUCUCAUGAAUAAUGCAUUCAAAGCUAUUCACUCGGAUUUCCUGUAUGAUAGGAUAUUAACAAUUUCCUCCACUUGGGAUUCAUAUUUGUCCUUUUCUAUAUUUAACAGCAACACAAGUCUUUUAUUUAUUAGCUGGCAAUUGCAUUGAAGCACACUUGCUGAUUCAUUCUCUUUGUUGCUGAACAUUUUCAUGCUCUUGUUACCAAGUGUCCCUUAAAAAAAUGGCCCUGUCUAUUACAAUUUUUAAUGAAAUGAAACCCAUUCCCUGAAGGGAAAUGCAUAUUAGCCAUUAAAUAAAUCCUCAGAAGUAAAACAAAUAAAUGGCAAAUUCUGAAACAGGGACAUGUAAACAUCUGUAAUUGGGGCAGAUAUAUAAAAAAUGUUUAUAUUCCAGUUUGCUGUAGGCCCCAUUGCGCUGAGUAGCAUAAAAAUAUGGUUUCUGUGUUAGGCUUCAGCUGCUUCACACUACAUUUGGAAAUUGUUCAUGAUGGAGCAAUGCUUGUGUUACAUUGGUGGCAUGCAGCCAAAUAAAACUCAAUUACAUCCAAUUCAGACAUCGCAUUAAAACCUGGUUUGUGUGAAAAGUAGUUCAGAUCUCAAUGUGUAGUUUGAACUUUUAGACAAAACAGGCAUUGGUGCAUCUAAAUGCAAUACCUUCUAACUCCCAAUUUGCCAUGGACAUUUCAAUCAAACCUGUUGGUUUGAUAUCUGGUGUUAGCUGAUGGAAAAAAAUAAACCUUCAGUGUGAUUUCAUUUGCAUUGCACAGAUACAUGUUAGAACCAUGUCUGCCACUUUGAGCUCCUUGAUAGGUCAAGCAUAUACUAGGCAUGUGCGAUCCAUGAAAAAAAAUGGUUCAAUACUCGCUUUGAAAGUAGGGGGUGCUGGUGCUUUGUUUCUAAAGUCAUUUCUGAAUUUUGAAGCAAAAAUUUCAAAACUUUCUGAAACUUCCGAAUCUUCAUAUGUACCUCGUUAAUGGCGGAUGUACAUAUGCAUGAAGGAAAACAUUAUUGUCAAUGAGGAAAAUUGAGGGGCCUCUCCCUCCCUCAUUUUUUGAGCUAUCCUAAUGAAAUUUGCUACAGUGGUAGAACACAAAAACCACUGUUAGCUCACCACAUCUAAGAAGGUUUGAAUUAUCCUCAAAGUUUUGGCGAAUUUUCAAAGUUUUUAUAAAAAAAAUUUUUUAAAUAAUAACAAAAAUCUGUUCAUGGUUUGAAUGUGUUAUUUCCUGUUUCAUUGGGUUGUCUUUACUUUGAAAGUCAUUGUUCUACUUCAGAAACUUUCUUUUUGUGGCUGAAACUUUGUUAAAUUGGUGGACAGUGUCCCAGGAAACCAUAAUGUGC
rnacentral:lncRNA from 11 species